GAAUUUUGGACAAUGGGCGAAAGCCUGAUCCAGCAAUGCCGCGUGCAGGAUGAAGGCCUUCGGGUUGUAAACUGCUUUUGUACGGAACGAAAAGCUUUGGGUUAAUACCCUGGAGUCAUGACGGUACCGUAGUAAUAAGCCCCGGCUAACUACGUGCCAACAGCCCCGGUAAUACGUAGGGUGCAAGCGUUAACCGGAAUUACGGGGCGUAAGGCUGGGGAGGGCGGUUUUGUAGGAAAGAGAGGAAAUCCCCGGGCUCAACCUGGGAACGGCCUUUGUGACUGCAAGGCUAGAGUACGGCAGAGGGGGUUGGAAUUCCGCGUGUAGCAGGGAAAUGCGUAGAUAGGCGGAGGAACACCGAUGGCGAAGGCAACCCCCUGGGCCUGUACUGACGCUCAGGCACGAAAGCGUGGGAGCAAACA
rnacentral:rRNA from 1 species